rnacentral:sRNA from 1 species
UCCGUUUACGGAUACCUACCUGGUCGAG